UACAGAGGUCUCAAGCGUUGUUCGGAUUCAUUGGGCGUAAAGCGUGCGCAGGCGGUUUUGUAAGCCAGAUGUGAAAUCCCCGGGCUUAACCUGGGAAUGGCAUUUGGGACUGCAAGGCUGGAGUGCGGCAGAGGAGACUGGAAUUCCUGGUGUAGCAGUGAAAUGCGUAGAUAUCAGGAGGAAUACCGAUGGCGAAGGCAGGUCUCUGGGCUGACACUGACGCUCAUGCACGAAAGCGUGGGGAGCAAACGAGG
rnacentral:rRNA from 1 species